UUUAUUGGAGAGUUUGAUCCUGGCUCAGGACGAACGCUGGCGGCGUGCCUAAUACAUGCAAGUCGAGCGG
rnacentral:rRNA from 1 species